AUCUGUGGACACAAAUAGAAGCUGAGCGCUCUGCUUUCAGGCUUCAUCCACCUCCUGUCUCCUGAGAGUCGAUGUCUGGUCGUCCUGUGGGUCAAAUUAACCGAAUUAAAGUUUGAAAAUGUGGGGAAAAAAGAAUUUCCACAGUGAAACUUCUGAUGUCCACAUUUGCAACAUUUUUGGGAAAUUUUUGGUGGAAAAAAGGCUUGUACCUUUUCCUGCCGUCUGAUUGGUCGGCCGCUGACACACCACCUGGAAACAUCAAACAAAGCAAACAAACAAACUUCCUGUCAGAUGACCGAGCAGACGCCAUGUGACCUCUGACUGUUCACCUUCACUUCCUGCUUUGACCCACAGACAGACUAUUGAUUUCUAAUAUAUGAUUUAUAAUCCUGAAGCAUCUUAUCGUAUAUUUACCUGUAAAAAUUAUUUCAACACACACAGUAACAGUAAUAAUUUACUGAUUUAGACAAAGCUUUAGGUUGCAAACAUCAUUUAAAGGGUUGGCAGAAUAACGUUGGAUCAACUUAAUAUAAUGUCUGAAUUAAACUAAACUUUCUGUGUUUGUUGAUUUAAAACUGAAUGAAAUAACGUCAUUAAAUCCACUUGAAAACUUC